UCCCUGGUGGCUCAGAUGGUAAAGCAUCUGCCUGCAAUGCAGGAGACCCAGGUUCGAUCCCUGGGUCGGGAA
rnacentral:tRNA from 1 species